AACGAACGCUGGCGGCAGGCCUAACACAUGCAAGUCGAGGGGUAUAAGAUCUUCGGAUCUUAGAGACCGGCGGACGGGUGAGUAACGCGUGGGAAUGUACCAUUUGGUGGGGGAUAGCUUCUGGAAACGGGAAUUAAUACCGCAUAAGCCCUAUGGGGGAAAGAUUUAUUGCCGAAUGAUCGGCCCGCGUUAGAUUAGUUAGUUGGUGAGGUAACGGCUCACCAAGACGAUGAUCUAUAUCUGGUUUGAGAGGAUGAUCAGACACACUGGGACUGAGACACGGCCCAGACUCCUACGGGAGGCAGCAGUGGGGAAUAUUGGACAAUGGGGGCAACCCUGAUCCAGCCAUGCCGCGUGAGUGAAGAAGGCCCUAGGGUUGUAAAACUCUUUUACCUGUGAAGAUGAUGACUGUAACAGGAGAAAAAGCACCGGCUAACUUCGUGCCAGCCGCCGCCGUAACAC
rnacentral:rRNA from 1 species